UACAGAGGUCCCAAGCGUUGUUCGGAUUCAUUGGGCGUAAAGGGUGCGUAGGUGGCGCUGUAAGUCGGGUGUGAAAUUUCGGAGCUUAACUCCGAAACUGCAUUCGAUACUGCGGUGCUCGAGGACUGGAGAGGAGACUGGAAUUCAUGGUGUAGCAGUGAAAUGCGUAGAGAUCAUGAGGAAGACCAGUGGCGAAGGCGGGUCUCUGGACCGAUACUGACGCUGAGGCGCGAAAGCGUGGGGAGCAAACAGG
rnacentral:rRNA from 1 species